rnacentral:snRNA from 1 species
GUACUCUGCUUUUCCUUUAAUUCCUGUAAAUCUUUUGUGUUUUACUAAAGAUUUAUGUGUAGAGGAACAUUUAUGAGUUUGUACCCAAUUUUUUGAGGCUUUGCUUUAGCAAGGUU